rnacentral:rRNA from 1 species
GAUGAACGCUGGCGGUAUGCCUAACACAUGCAAGUCGUACGGGAGUUUUUAACUCCAGUGGCGGACGGGUGAGUAACACGUGAGAAUUUGCCUUUAGGAGGGGGAUAACAAUUGGAAACGAUUGCUAAUACCCCAUAUGCUUAAGAGUGAAAUAGAUUUAUCUGCCUAAAGAAAAGCUCGCGGCUGAUUAGCUUGUUGGUAAGGUAAUGGCUUACCAAGGCGACGAUCAGUAUCUGGUUUGAGAGGACGAUCAGACCCACUGGAACUGAGACCCGGUCCAGACUCCUACGGGAGGCAGCAGUGGGGAAUUUUCCGCAAUGGGCGAAAGCCUGACGGAGCAAUACCGCGUGAGGGAAGACGGCCUAUGGGUUGUAAACCUCUUUUUUCAGGGAGGA